UAGCGAAGGGGGCUAGCGUUGUUCGGAAUCACUGGGCGUAAAGCGCACGUAGGCGGACUCUUAAGUCGGGUGGUGAAAUCCUGGAGCUCAACUCCAGAACUGCCUUCGAUACUGGAGAGCUUGGAGUUCGGGAGAGGUGAGUGGAACUGCGAGUGUAGAGGUGAAAUUCGUAGAUAUUCGCGAAGAACACCAGUGGCGAAGGCGGCUCACUGGCCCGAGUAC
rnacentral:rRNA from 1 species